AGUGUUAAGAGCUGAGCUGACCUGGAGAGGGCUUAGUGGCCAUAUGUUGGAGUAGUCAACUAAGGCUACAAAUCAAAAUGAAAGAAGUUAAGCCUUUACCCUCUUACUGAAACAGUAUAAACAAGAGGUUGGGUAAGAGGAAGUACCAGCAUCACAUUGUUCUAUUACCUACCUUGGAACUAUUCAAGGUAAGCGUCAGAUGCAUUAGUGCAGACAGAGGGCACUGUCUCACUGCCUGGGGAGCCCCAACGAAAGACUUCUGUCAUUUUAUGGACUUAGGAACAGAGGAAAGUGAGUGGGGAGGAGCUAGGAGUGGACAAGUCCAGAAUACUGAAAGUAAAGUGUCCUGAAAAUUCUGCCUUUCUCUUGACAAGGGGGUCUUGGCAGAGGUGCUUGAGGCAGGCCUCAGCUGGGUCUCCAAUAGAGGGCUCUGAGUGGGGCCUUCUGGGUUAGACAGGCUCAGAUGCCUUAGAGAAUCAGUCGCCUGCCAGGAGAAUUUGGUCCUCAGCUGCAGCUCUGGUCAGAGACUACAAGCUCAGGCUGUGGACCAAGUCUGGUGUGGGAAGACAGCUGCCUCUGUGGAGCCUGCCAGAUUAAGCCUGGGUAAUUGUCUAUUGUGAGGUCUGAAAGAUCACACACAGUCUUCUGGCAGGAGCUACACUCCUCACGAAGUUCAGAGAUUUCAUGACCUCUUAGGAUUCAAAGGAAGAGAACCAAAGUCCACUUAGCACUUACCAUAUGCCAACACUGUCCACUGCUCACAGCUUUUCUGCCACAGUGCUGAAGUUGAAAUUGUUGUCCUUUUUAAAUGAUCUCAGGAGUGACCCUCCUGCCAGGAGAUGAUUUCAGUUCUGAGUUCAUUCUGCCUUUACAGAGAUGGUAUCUGCCUCCUUCUAUCUUGGGUCCUGAUUCUGUCCUUUGGGCAAGGAACAUGCCUUAUUUAGCUUUGACAUGACUGCUCUUCGGGUAUAUGAAGACAGUGGCCUUGUGCUCUAUGUCUUUUUUUCUUUCUUUCUCCUCACAGUUCAACUUUUCAGCAGUUUGUCAAAUAACAUGGUGCCUGCUACCCUGAUCCUGGCUUCCUGUCUCUGAGUACUCUUCAUUUUAUUCAAGUGUGAAUCUCACUCCCCACCUGGCCCCCCUUGCCCUAACACAAACGCUCAUGUGAUCUGUCUCAUGUAGAUUAGAGAGGCACUAACAAGCAUUUCCUCUAUGGUUUGAAGUAUUAGCUGGCUCCCCUGCAGGCCGGAUUGGGAGUAACCACAGGAC
rnacentral:lncRNA from 1 species